AUUCUUGCCUAGCCUGUGUUUGUAUACUGUGAAAGUGCAGAACUUUGUCUAUCUCCCUACUAAUUUGCCACCUAUUUCUAAGACUGUUUCUCCAGUUUGUCAAAAUAAUCAGAGUUUUGGUCCUAUCUUCCUGUGAGCCGGCAAGCUCUAUUAGCUUGGAAUUACCUGCUCUAAUGAAUAAGUAUAUUUUAUCUUCCAUCAUCCAGGUUGUUAAUGGAAAUAUUGAGAAACCCCAAACUUACUCUGUACACCCUUCUAUUUAAGUAGUUCAUUGCUGAUAAAUGCUUCUAGUGAUUGACUUCCAGCCAGUCUGUACUCAUUGCAUACCAGUUUCCUCUAAACUGUGUUCUCUGUCUUGGGUAGAAGAAUAAUACAUAUCAAUGUUGAUAACAGACAAGACAUGACACCUUCUGCUUCUCCCAUCUGUUAUCCUGUUGCAGAAGGAAACUAGAUUAGUAUGUCACCACCUAGUCUCAUCCAAAAUAGGCUAUCUACACAUAAUUCAAGACUUUAUAAGGCCUGCAGCAGCAACUGCCGAACUAUGGCCUCCAGUGAAAGCACUGCCUAUGAGUGGAGGCAUCAGCCUGGCUGAAAUCAUACUGGAGAAGCAGGGCUCUCAAAGUGAAGAACAUCUGGCAAAGAUGAUGUGGUAUCACAGCGUGGGCAGUGGUGCCUCCAGAAAUGUGAAACCUACAGUCAUUAACUCAAUCAUCCAUGGCAGGGCAUGCCAAGAUGAAACAACUAUUAGGCUAAUGGAAAAGCUGGUGGCCAUUAAUUUAAUUUCUCUUCAGAGGUGUACAGUGUUACUCUUCAUGUCACACUGCACUUCCUUAAAGGAGAGAAAUACAUUGAGUAUGUAACUUGUAAUCUGAUUUGGAGAGGAACUGCACCCAGAAAUACCCUUUUGUGUACGGUAUGAUCUGACAGGUCGGAUGCAGAUGCCUCUGUUAUAGAUAUCUAAAGUUAUGUUAUGAAAAUUUUGCUUUUUGUGUCAGGUGCACAAAGUCCACACGUCAUUCAAGUCACUUCUGAUCUCUGUUGAUUAUUAUGAAAAGAGGGGCAAAACCUCCACAAUGGGACUACCCCAUCAGUUUGUGUUUUAGGAAAGUCUGAUGUACCCAGACAUCUCCUACUAUAACUUCACAUACAAGGAUGGGCUUCUUGUCUGCUGGAUGUGUCACUUCUCUCGUAACUGCCAUCAUUUCUCUUGCUGCCUACUUAAGAACUGUGGGUCUACAUAGAGCCCCUCCUAGCCCUGAAUAAAUCUUAUGGGAAAAAUAAAGCUUUAUGGCUUGUAGUAGGGAGUUCCUGUUAAGAAACUACCACUAUUGAAGUUCUUGGCAUCAAAAACCCAUCUCUGUGAGACAUGGAAGUUAAUCUCAAUAGAUUUCUAAUGUGGAUAUACUAAAUAGUAUUAAUCACUUGUGCAGACAACACAUACAGAAUUUAAAUCCAAUUAUAUGAUAGUUAUAUAUAGUAUAGCGCAUAGCAUGCAGCGAACUGUACAUCGUAUAUAUUAUACUAUAUAUACACUAUACACUAUACUAUAUACCACAUAAUAUAAUAGUUUAUAACAGUUUACUUCACUAGUUGAUGCGGAUUAAUUUUCUUGAAGUGCCCUGUGUAGACAAAUCUUGAGCAUGUUUUUGACAGAGCUAACCUGUCUGUGCUGUGGAUGUGGAUGAUGUCCGCAAUGGAGCUCCAGAUGAUGGUUCUUGCUCUGGGUCUGCUGGCUUCUAUGUUGCUGUUUGAAGGGUUAUAGAAGCCAAAAGCAGCGCUGGAAUUCUGUUGUCAUCUCAUAGAUCUGAUGACCUUAUUAAUUUCUAAGGUCACAGAUGUUAAAUCCUGGUGCCAUGUGUGACUUCUCUUUUAGGCUUGGCAUAUAAAAAGCCAAUGUGCUAACCAAUAAUUUUGAAGAGAAUUUUCCCAAGGCUCAUAGAAGAGGCAUUGUAUGUAUACAAGUGUAGCAGUCUGCAUGUCCCGAGUGACACCAUUUACACUGGAUUUUUUCCCAAAGUGCUAUGAUACAGAUAAGAAUAUCUGAUGUGAAAUUGAACUGGAAAAUGAACUGAAUUCUAAAAUUUGGUAAAAACUCUUAAGGAAUAGAUAACAGCGAGAUGAUAAUUUCUUGCAGCAAGGCAGGUGAAGCCCACACAAAUGCAAAAGAACACUUGGCUUUAAAAUGUGAAUUGCCAUGUUUAUACUUCUCCUCCUCCUGAACAUUGCUUUGCUGGGAGGCUCCGUAAGGUUGCCAUAGGACACCACAGAAAUAGUGGGGAUAUGCUUGGGCCUUCUAAAACAAGUUACAAGGUAUUUUUUUCAACCCCGAGCCGGAGUCAUUGAAAUUUAAUGCCAGAAAAUUGCCUUAAUUCAGUGCAAAUGAUUGGCAUGGUUUCUGAGAAGGUACACGGUCUUAACAGUUAUGUUAGAAGAUUAAGAAGCUGUAGUUUUCAUGGUGAUCUCCCAGCCCAUCUGUUUUGAAAAGAUCAAAGAAUGAAGUCAUACUUCUGGGUCUGUGUUAACAUCAUGCUACAGGGAAGGCACUGAAGAAAAGGAAAGUGAUCUUUACAUAUGGCAGAGAUGCUGCUGCUUCAUUUGUUCAUGCUUGGAAGUUUCCUUUGUUAUCUUUUUUUCAGAGAGCUUGAAGACAGCUUAAAAAGAUGCAAAACCACUGCAUGAAAUCACAUGCACUGCUCUGUAUCACUGUUUGCUAUGUAGUAUGCAUGCGCUUACUAUGCUGGGUAAUUGAUAUGGCUGCAAAUACAGGUCUGAAUUUUAUACAGUAAAUGACAAAAUUGCUCAGUUUGCAUGUACGGAUUCAACAAUAAUGUUGAUGUGUGUUUACAUAUAUGUCUUUUUUUAAUUUGCAAGUGGUCAUCUAUUUUUAAAAUGUGGCCAUUUAAAAGAAUGUUUUUGUCUUAAGAAUAGGUAAGUAUUACUGGCUGGUGUUAUUUAGAAGAAUGAGAUAAGUCAGGGUGUUCUGAGUCUGGAUAUGCCACACUUUAGUCAAAGGCAAGUGAUAUUUUUGUUUCUGUGUCUCUAAGAUGGGCCAUUUUCACAGAAUUACAGAAACCAGUGCUAGAGCAGAUAUGAAGUCAUCUACUCCUUCCCUCUGAACAAGGCAGAAUGAAAUAUACCUGUGUUCUCCUUAACAGAUAUUUGACUCAUGUGCUAUCUACUGCCUACAGGAAGGGAGAUCUGAGAACCUCUCGAGGUGGUUUACUCCAGUGCUAAGUCAUUUUAGAAAGCUCUUGUUUGACAAUUUAGGUGAAAAAGCCUGCACUGUAACUUGAAUCUCUUUUGAUUCAGGUUAAGCCCAUUGCUGUCUCUUCUCUCUCCUGACUUGAAACGGCUCGAGAAUAACUUAUUUUUCUUGACUUCCAGCCUUUCUUACAACUUUACUUUUAUUCCACAUCUUUCCUGAUGUGUGGUGCCCAAAGUGUAUGCAAUACAACCUGUGCUGAACAGAAUGGAAACAUUCCUUAAUAUGCCUUGUAAGGUGUACUUCCCAUCGUGCAUCCUAGUGGUUGGAUUGCUUUUUUCAUAACAAAAUGACAUUGGUGGUUAAUCUUCAGACUAUUCUGCUAUAAUCCUAUUGUUUUUCAUAACUGCUGCUUUGCUUAUCAUCCUUCAACCUCCAUGUGUUGCCUAAGUGUAGAGCUUUAUUCUCAUCUCAGUAGAGUUUCCCCCCUUUGCUUUCAGGCCAUUUCUCCGUUUUGUUAAGACCAUUUAGAUCAUUACUGAGCUGUCCCGGAAUAUUCACCUAGCUGCCAGUGAAAGCUGUGAAGCCUGGGGGAGAUUUUCAGUGUUUGCCUUUGGGGUAACUGUAGGUGUCCACGGGUGAGUUAGGUGUCUAAGUACCCUCUGCAGUCAGAAUGAACAGAUCAUUCAUUGUACCCUUCAUCAUUAAUUAAUGUUAAUUCAGUGUAAACGUAUCAAAUAAGAGAGCUGUAGGCCUGCUCUAGUUUGGAAGGCCAAUUGAAAUAACAUAAUAAACGUGUCUGAGAAAGACAUUACAACAAUUUUAUAGCUUGUGCAGUAGGAACUGGAAGUAGGAGCCUCAAUUACGCCUUCCUUUCUCAUCUCUUUGUUCACAUGGAACAGCUCUGCCUCUCACCUGCCUACUCCUUGUUUUUCCUUAUGAAAAUAUUAUGGAGGAAUCCUGUUACAAAGCAAGAUAAAAAGCUUAUUUUUCUCUGAGCCUGUUAAAACACAGAGCAUAUACCUGCUCUGCACAGGAUUCCAUCCACGGGUGGAAAGCAGCCCCCACUUCUGCAGAUCUCUGCCUUUUGGUUCCUUGGCAAAGAAGUAGAUCAGCCCUGGUGUUGUAUUAGUCAGGAAUGGUUUGUUACUACCGUACUUCAUCUUGCUGUAUUUUCUGUUAUGAUGAGUGUGUCUCUGUGUUUGUUACCAAAUAAAUAAAAUAGCAGUUAAUAUGUAUGCGAUUCCUUUUAAUGAUCAGCUUUAUGAAUUUCCCAGGCUUCAAGCUAUAGUUUAAUGAAACACGACGUGGUGGCCACAAUCGAUGUUUUACUCUUGAGAAAUAGGCCAGAAUCCUCCCAAAUGUGCAGCUUGCCCUUUAUUAUUGCCCUUUAUUAUGAAUGUCUAAAGAAGGCUUGGAAGUCAAAAUUGUAGCAGAACUUGAAGAAAGAAGAGUAGUUACCUUCAUCACUGUAAUUCUUUGGCGUGCUCUUUGUACGCAGCUCCCAGUGCUGGCCCCUUGGUUCCCCAGGUCGUGUGGACUGAGGACUGCUGAAGAGCUGGGCGGUGAUCUGUUUGCACGCUGGAGGGAGGAAAAGCAGAGAUGCGAGAACUGGAGGAACAGGGAUGUGAAGCUGUCUGCUCAGAGGAUGCCAGUGACAAAUCCAGGAACAGAAGCCGAGGCUCCCAAGUUGCAGUCUAAUCAGCGAAGAAUUUUGCCUUCCAAUAUUGCAAUGAGAUAAUGCAUCCAGGUCCUGGCUAAGAAAAUGGGGUUUUUCAUCAGGAACGUCGUGGUCGGAUGUUCAAAACUGUCACGCGUCUGGUGAAAGUGAGCAUAAUUCUUCAGUUUUGUGCAUGAUGCAGCAAGCUCAUUUCACUGAAGAAAGUGGUAACUUCAGGAUGAACCCCCAAGGCAUGGCUGCAGUGGCUGUGUGAAACAAGAAACAGAUACCAUUUUUGUGUCACUCAUUUCACUGAUCACCAGGACUCUGAGCCAGGGUGAAGAUGGAGGAAGACUCCUACAGAGAACCAGGAACAGUUUGUCCCUUUAGAAGGGAGUAAUGACAUUUUAAAAGUUUUUACCAAAUACCAGUGCAUGUGAUAAAGUUAUAUGGUUGGGAAUUAAUCAAAAGACCAUGAAAUAGGAUGGAAUGCACAUUAUGGGAAGCCUUGGAGAGCUACAACCUAAGCACCCUGAAAUCUGUGACCAAGCCCACAGGACACCUCUUGAGUUAUUGCAACCACCUCCAAUGACUGCUAUUUUUUUUAAAAAAUUACCAGCCCCAGUAAACUCCCCCAGACAGACUGGAAAAAGAUGUUCUUGCUAUUAAUUUUAGUCCAGAGAAAGACUUCAAAUGUAUUCUGGGUAGUGAAAUAUUUGGUUCAUGGAAUUAGCUACAGAAAAAAAAACAAGCAGUGUAAAUUUGCACCUUGGAGGUGGUACAUGUUUUGAAAAGGAUGGUUCCAAAGAUAAUGUGCUUGUAUCUAAACUCUGUUAUCUGCAACAUACAGAUUUACAGUGUUAUCUGUAUUAAAUAACACAUCUGUAUGCUGAAACAUGAAAUGUAUAAUUAAAAUAAUGACUGUAGCUAUAGAUCUAUGUAAAUAUUAUCUAGAUCAUAUGUGUAAAUAUUAAAGAAAUUGUUUAAUUUCUAGAGAUUACAGACAACACUUUAAAAUUUUACAGAGUCCCCCCUCUCGCGAGUUUUUGAUGUAAUUACCAGUUAAGAGCUAAUCCAUCUAUUUGCUUUUUAGAAUAUUUGCAGUUGUGUUAAAUUUUAGUGAGGAGCAAUCUAGUUUUCUUGUUUGAACAAGAAGUCCCCGAGUAUUUGUCCCAGAUACCAAUAUUUUCACUCUGCUGGCAGCUGUAUAAUUGUGGUCACCCUUCAGCAAUGUAUGUGAAGAAUGUAUACAGUGGCAGUGCCCCUUCGAGAGAGUACCAGGAGGAAAAUUGGAUGUGGUCAACCCACACGUAAUUUGUUCUCCUUAGUGGAGGUCUCACAUGUACAGCACUUAAAUGACACUUUUUGUUUCUGGAUAAGAUGAAGGUAACUGAUAGAAACCAUUCAAAAGCCUCUUGGGCUAUUGCUUACGUUCCCUGAAACGGGCUAAAGAGAAUAGCUCUUUGGAGACACAGCUUUACAUUGAACAUAUGCAGGGCUGUGUCAUUAUUAAUUCUGCAAAUGUGUUUACAAUGGUUAGGUAAAAUAUUUAGUUACUAUUUAAAUAUUUUGAUGUAUUAUAGCUCAUACCCGAAUUUCAGAUGUCUGCUGCACUUAACAUUUCCAAUUUAAAUAACCGGUUUCAUUAAGGUUUUUAGUGAUACAAAUUAAUAACAAAAGGCAGUUAAUGCAGAGUACGGUUAUGAGACCAACAUACAUGUGGUUUAAAUUUAAAGAAUUAAAUGUUAGCAUUUCCCUAUAGAGAAAGGUUAUUUGGGCAAUGGUGUACUGACAUUAUCACCACCCACGGAGAAGGGGACCUGUUGAUCCUAUUGGUUAAGCAGAAAUUCAAAAACGGAAGAAAUGUCGGUCUAGAGGGUUUGCUUGGUGUGAGUGAAUCACACAGGAAAAAUGCUGAUACCUAGAGUAGCUGCAGUGACCUUCUUUGAUGGUUAGAAAGAGAAAUAAUCACACAGGAUUUUUGUCAAAGUUGGAGGGUUUAGGUUGCUUGCUGGCUAAAAUCGGCCUUGGUUAUUAAUAUAGUGGAAAGUUAAAUGAUGAGCAUGGAAAUAUGAUAAUAAGUGCUGUUGUAAAUGAGACAGAAAUGAUUUUCUGUGGCUGGUAGGAAUGGUAAUCCAAUGUGUUAACCAUUGGGCUGGAGGGCUGCUAAGAAAAUAAAUGUGCAAAGUGGGUAAAAUAAAGGAUAAAAGUAUGUUUAUGUAGGCGUUUCUUCAAAGCUUUCUUUCGUAAGGUGUUUCUGGACACUCUGCUGUACUGCUUUGGACAAGUCAUGUCUGUUAAAAUAAAAGUAAGCAACAGCUUUUGUUUUAGCAAUAAAUACUGCUAACUGUA